rnacentral:rRNA from 1 species
UACGUAGGGGGCAAGCGUUGUCCGGAAUCAUUGGGCGUAAAGAGCGUGUAGGCGGCCCGGUAAGUCCGCUGUGAAAGUCCAGGGCUCAACCCUGGAAUGCCGGUGGAAACUGUCGGGCUAGAGUCCGGAAGAGGCGAGUGGAAUUCCUGGUGUAGCGGUGGAAUGCGCAGAUAUCAGGAGGAACACCAAUAGCGAAAGCAGCUCGCUGGGACGUUUACUGACACUAAGGCGCGAAAGCGUGGGGAGCGAACAGG